rnacentral:rRNA from 1 species
UACGUAGGGUGCGAGCGUUAAUCGGAAUUACUGGGCGUAAAGCGUGCGCAGGCGGUUGUGCAAGACCGAUGUGAAAUCCCCGGGCUUAACCUGGGAAUUGCAUUUGUGACUGCACGGCUAGAGUGUGUCAGAGGGGGGUAGAAUUCCACGUGUAGCAGUGAAAUGCGUAGAUAUGUGGAGGAAUACCGAUGGCGAAGGCAGCCCCCUGGGAUAACACUGACGCUCAUGCACGAAAGCGUGGGGAGCAAACAGG